rnacentral:rRNA from 1 species
ACUCAAAUGAAUUGACGGGGGCCCGCACAAGCGGUGGAGCAUGUGGUUUAAUUCGACGCAACGCGCAGAACCUUACCAGGCCUUGACAUCCCGUGCUACGCUCAGAGAUGGGCGGUCCCCGCAAGGGGCGCGGAGACAGGUGCUGCAUGGCUGUCGUCAGCUCGUGUCGUGAGAUGUUGGGUUAAGUCCCGCAACGAGCGCAACCCUCGCCUUUAGUUGCCAUCAUUUAGUUGGGCACUCUAAAGGGACCGCCGGCGAUAAGCCGGAGGAAGGUGGGGAUGACGUCAAGUCCUCAUGGCCCUUACGGCCUGGGCUACACACGUGCUACAAUGGCGGUGACAGUGGGCAGCGACCACGCGAGUGGAUGCUAAUCCCCAAAAACCGUCCCAGUUCAGAUUGCACUCUGCAACUCGGGUGCAUGAAGGUGGAAUCGCUAGUAAUCGCAGAACAGCAGGCUGCGGUGAAUACGUUCCCGGGCCUUGUACACACCGCCCGU